rnacentral:rRNA from 1 species
GACGAACGCUGGCGGUAUGCUUUACACAUGCAAGUCAUACGGGAGUUAGUUUCGGCUAACUUCAGUGGCGGACGGGUGAGUAACACGUGAGAAUUCGCCUUUAGGAGGGGGAUAACAGGGGGAAACACCUGCUAAAACCCCAUAUGCCUUCGGGUCAAAAGAGAAAUCUGCCUAAAGAGAAGCUCGCGGCUGAUUAGCUAGUUGGUAGGGUAAAGGCCUACCAAGGCGACGAUCAGUAGCUGGUCUGAGAGGAUGAUCAGUCACACUGGAACUGAGACACGGUCCAGACUCCUACGGGAGGCAGCAGUGAGGAAUUUUCUGCAAUGGGCGAAAGCCUGACAGAGCAAUACCGCGUGAGGGAAGAAGGCUUACUGAGUUGUAAACCUCUGUUACCUAAGGAGGAAGAUCUGACGUUACUUAGGAGACGAAGCAUCGGCUAACUCCGUGCCAGCAGCCGCCGUAA